AUACGGAGGGUGCAAGCGUUGUUCGGAAUCACUGGGCGUAAAGGGCGCGCAGGCGGUUUGGUAAGUCAGAUGUGAAAGCCCAUGGCUCAACCAUGGAAGUGCAUUUGAAACUGUCAGACUUGAGUACUAGAGGGGAAAGUGGAAUUCCCGGUGUAGAGGUGAAAUUCGUAGAUAUCGGGAGGAAUACCGGUGGCGAAGGCGACUUUCUGGCUAGAUACUGACGCUGAGGCGCGAAAGCGUGGGGAGCAAACAGGAUUAGAAACCCCGGUAGUCC
rnacentral:rRNA from 1 species